CAAGCCAUCUUGUCUUUGUUUCACUAAAAAAGGGGCAGUUGUUCCCCUUUCGAAUGGUCUUCCAGGCCAUUUGCUACCAGUUAAUACGUUCUUUUUAAGAAGGUUCCAAAAUCUCAGUGGACCAUUGUACUGACCUGACAAAUGGAUGGUAUGAACUAAUAGUUUGGUGUCUUCUAAUGUACCAUGUGUUUUAAAAUUCUUUUUAACCACCUUAACGACUUUUAGGAACAUUCAUUAUCUUAAAGCGGCGUUUCUCGUGAACAGAUGGUGUUUAAAACCCCAAAUCCGGAGAUUUACAACAGGUUUUUUCGUUCGACAGCAUUCAAAUGGAGUGCACGCACAAAUAAAACUCGAAGAGAUUAAAGAAAAUGUAAUGAAAAUGGGUCAAAUAACUUUCCCUUGGCCUUGGUUCAAGGACGGACAACCCGCGGCUAAUCAAAUCCAAUAAGCAGAGGCUCUGUCUCCCCUCCCCAGUCUUGAGCCUUGAUACCCUGUCACACAAUAACUAAUCCUGACCCUGUAGGUACUUUAGGAGACAGACUUUAUAAAAACCCACUUUGCAGGAUUGGCUUGACCCACAGGACUAAGGUGCUCUGAUUUGCAGUGCCCAUAUGGUGCGAUCAGUAAAAUUAUUCACCACCAGAAAUGGUAAAGGUCUUCACGGGUAGGCUCUAGAAAGUCCAGCUUUUUCAACACAGCAGUCGUUGCUUAGUAAGUGCAAAAGCAACAGAUGCACGCUACUCAACUGCCUAUCAAGUCUGGAACUUGUUACACAAGUUUCCCUGACGGCAUGAGGAGGUACAGGAAAUGAUCGUCUUGAUCAAGAGGUGCGCAGUUCUUGGAUCAGUAGUUCCGACACCAGCCCCUCCCCUGCCCACUCUGUGUCUGCUUUGUUCAGUGAUUUGGAUAAUCCUCUCCUUCUGCUUCUGUGAGCUCCUCACUACCCAUUUCAUUAGCCAGAAGCACAGUAUCUAUAUAGAUCCAGCUUAUCUACUGAGCCACUCUUCAUCUGCGCACGCACCCCCCCUAUUUCACACUUUGCUGCUGCAGCAGCAGCAGCGCUGGCAUCAAGAAAGUGUCCGUUGCUUGGAGAUCUCUUUUGAAAAUCCACUCCCACACCCGCCCCAUCCUCCCCCCAACCACAACACCCGCACAUGCAGUACAGACGUGCACGCUUUCUGGAGGCAUCGAGCGAGGCAGGAGGUCUGGUCGGAAUAAUGAAGAGCCGUGAUGCUCUGGAGGCUGCUGUCGCUUCGGAGGUGUUCCCCCAGCAAUGGAGGAGGAAAGAGACACACACACACACACGGCCUCAGCUGUGUGAGUCUGACUCAGCUGUAAUUGGGAUUAGCAUUAGCAUAUGUCCCUCAGCCUUGGAGCAGAGCUGCGAAGCUUCCGGCCUGGGAGACUUCCUCUAUCACAGCACUGCAUCUGUCUGCUAGAAUUAGCCUCGACCAUGCCGGCCCAUUGUUGUGAGUGUGCCUCUCACCUGGCAGCUGUCUGCAGGCACAAGGCCCAUCUGUCACCUGGGCCGCUGUCGGACUCGCCUCCGAAAAGCCAGUGUCCAUUAUUCAUGGGGAACGACCCGAUUGACAGCCGGAUGACAAACCCCUGGAAGCUUAGUCCGUCCUUCCCGACCUUUUCCUGAGCAGUGCAGCAGUUGAAAUAAUAGGGGCCGAGGUGAUAUUUGCUUUGUCAGUGUGUGAGAGGAGCGAUCGGUGGGAUUGUUUGUGAAUGCUAAAGAUCUAGAGCAACAGUCAGGCAUUUUGUGUUUAGACGUGCAUUGUGCACGAUGAGUAUAGUGACCUUUGAUUAAAUCUGUGCAUAUCGGAUUAAUAGGAGCGGUCGGGAAAUGCCACGCCGCAUUAAAAGCCGUUAGGUUCAUGCAUAUAACCAAUGGGGGAACUAGAAUAUGUUCAAGCUUUUUCUGUGCAGGUGUCUGAGCCUCCUCCAGUCACUGUUUCCCUGUUGACUGGGCUUCAGACAGAUUGACAAAAAUGAUGGGUCGCAGUCGAAGAAGCAAACGGCCAGUGAUGGUGAACAGUGAGCGAUCGGCAGCGCGACAUCGCUGUUAUUCUUGGUGGGACAACAGUUUUGUUGUGUUGUUUGUUUGGGUUUUUUUUUUCUUCCCCCAGAGCUGCUGUCUGGUAAAUAUUGAAUUUUCGUGGCCUGGUUGGUCAGAGAUCGAAGACAGUCCGCGGAUGACGGAUGGCUGUGUUUGUGCUUCCCGUUUGGUCUCGAACCGGCCCGUUUCUUUUAUGAGACAAUACGUGACAUUUGCUGCCAAAGGCUACUUUGAUGCUCUGGUCAGAAUGGGUGAGCUGGCCAGCGAAAGCCAAGGAUCCAAAGACUUGGGGGAUGUGCUCUUCCAGAUGGCGGAGGUCCACAGACAGAUACAAGUGCAGCUAGAGGAGAUGUUGAAGUCCUUCCACAACGAGCUGCUCUCUGAACUGGAGAAGAAGGUGGAGCUGGAUGCUCGUUAUCUGACUGCUGCCCUGAAGAAAUACCAGAUGGAGCACAAGAGCAAAGGGGAGAGUCUGGAGAAGUGCCAGGCGGAGCUGAAGAAGCUGCGCAGGAAGAGCCAAGGCAGCAAGAACCCCUCCAAGUACGGCGAGAAGGAGAUGCAGUUUGUGGAGACCAUUAGCAGUAAGCAGACGGAGCUGGACACCUUUAUCGCUGAGGGAUACAAGACGGCCUUGUCCGAGGAGCGCCGCCGGUACUGUUUCCUCGUGGACCGCCAGUGUGCCGUGGCCAAGAACAACAGCGCCUACCACGGCAAGGGUAAAGACCUUCUGACCCAGAAGAUCCCAGUGUGGCAGCAGGCCUGUUCGGACCCCAACAAGCUGCCAGAGCGGGCCAUGCUCCUGGCCCAGCAGAUGAGCUCCGCUGCCCUCGGCGGCACGAGCCCGCUGCACACCUCCAAGUCCAACCUGGUCAUCUCGGACCCCAUCCCCGGAGCCCAGCCGCUUCCUGUGCCCCCCGAGCUGGCUGUGUUCAUGGGAAGUGGCCUCGGUCACUCAGCGAGGCUGAUGGGCCCUGAUGGCAUGUCCAUGGUCAACGGGACAACAGGAGUCCACGGUGAGGACUACUGGACGGACGGGGGGACUAUGUCCGUGUCCCAAGUUCGGCCCUCAUCCCCCCAGACCCAGACCCAGGCCCAACCCCAGAGACAGGUCAGCGACGUCUACUCCAACACCCUCCCCGUGCGCAGGCCUGCCCCCGCCAAGAACAAGAACCCCGUGGGGGAGACACGGACCCUGCCCCGGUCCAGCUCCAUGGCAGCGGGCCUGGAGAAGAACGGGCGCGCCCGCGUCCAGGCCAUCUUCUCCCACGCCGCCGGGGACAACGGCACCCUGCUCAGCUUCUCCGAGGGCGACGUCAUCACCCUGCUGGUGCCCGAGGCCCGCGACGGCUGGCACUACGGGGAGAACGAGAAGAACAAGAUGCGCGGCUGGUUUCCGUUCUCCUACACGCGUGUGCUGCCCGAGAGCGACGGCGACAAGCUCAAAGUGAACUUGCACCACGGGAAAAGCAGCAGCACGGGAAACUUGCUGGAGAACGACGGAUCGCUGCCCACGCCCGACUACGGCCUGACUGCCCGACUCCUGGCACAGAGCCUCGCACAGACCCGCCCACGUCCCUACAGCAUGGCAGGCUUUGGCACCCAGCCUGCUAUUGAGGACUACGACGGUCGUUUUGCCACGAGUGACAGUCCUGAUGGCAAAUUGAUUUCGACUGUGUGAGAACAGACAUACAGACAGACACAGACAGCUCCGGAUAGCACAGGGGCCUCUUCCUCCCACCCCACCCCCCCUCCCACCCCUCUUAGCCUUCCUCCUGUCCACUUGUCUCCUCCUCCUCCUGCCUCCACUCACACCCCUUCUCCAAGUGGAAGAGGCCAGUUUCAUCCCUCCUUUCUGUCCUCUCUUCCUCCCCGGGUCCCUCCUUUCCUCCUUCCGUCCGUCCGUCCAUCCGUCCGUCCUGGGUGCUGCUGCCGGUGGUGUCGGUGUGGACAGUAGCGGUUGGUGGGUGGAGGAUUGCGUUGAGCGGGAGAGCCAGAGCGGGGCCUACCUGCUCGGCAUGCAGCGAUACGGACUCUGAAUAAUAUCUCUGAUCACAGUCCACCAUCACAGACUGAUAUUAAGAGACUGCCUUUGCUACUGCUUGUCUUUCAUGCAUGUACAUGGUUGUGUCAUUUUGUCAAACUAAAGGACAUGUUCAUGUACUGUACAAGUGCCAAAAGACUCCAAUGUCGUUGUACUAAAGCCACUGACUGAAUGGCCUUUUUUUUCUACGCACGCGUGGGCCCCGUGUUACACAGCUCCCACCCAACACACAUGCUCCAAAAGGCUUUGUUCAAAAUAAGGCUGUGCAGCAGAUUAUGUUUCUGUUUUCAGAGAUCCUGUAGGUCGCGCUGUGCUUCCUUGUGUCAGUGCUAGACUGGAUUUCUUUUCUGUCCAGAGGGUGUGUGUCUUACGGUAUUUGCAUAAAGUUUUUUUUUUUCUUUUCAAGUAAACACAAAGUUUAUGUGCAACGAAGCAAAUUUUAAAAUUUAGCUUCAAGAAUAAACGGUAUCUUUUCAUCAAUCCACCAAAUUGCACUGUAUUAUGAUCAUUGUAAAGACAUGUUUUCAGCAAAUCGACUGUCAAAAAGACUGUCGGUCUUUUUCCCGACAAUAAAAAGCCUCGCGCCCGUAAACGGCACUUUGCUCCUUUCUCAUGAAGCUGCUGUGAGGGAUCUUUUUGCUCUUUCUGUUGACUUUUCUCCCAAAAACAGCUGUGAAUUAGUUUUAAAGCUCGACCACCACCACCACAGCUUUUGCAGCUCUCAGUGUUCUUUAUGAUUGUAUUCCCUGAGUGGCUUUGUAGUUUUCUUUUUGGUCUUUUCUUUCACAAAAAACCUAUUGUCCUUGUAAAAAAGAAAAAAGCAACAACAACAAUCUAUUUGCAAUGAGAAACUGAUUCAGUUGAAGUGUUUAACUUAUGCAUGCUGUGGAGGGAAACCAGAAAAUGUGAUACUUACAAUUGACUUUGAAUGUAUGGUGACUUUUUACAAAGUUAUUCUAAAUAAAACAUAUCUAUAUAUUAAUAAACAGUCUGGUCUGAAAAGCAGUCUGUUCUGUCAGUGACAGUUUUAGUUUGGUUGAACAUUUUGUUUGGCUCUGACCUCCAUUGUUUUUUUUUAUCUCAAAUUUUUAAUAAUAUUUAUAUAUAUAUCAUUUUUGGGCCACAGCAUGCUCGUCCAUUCCGUAACCCUCUCCCAGUAUCACCCUUAGCAUCUAUUUCUCUGUCUCUGUGGGGGGAAGUGAUAGUGAGUGUCUGUGUGAUGUGUAUUCUUAUUUACAGUGUUUGACUGCCUGCUUGACUUAUUUUUUUCAUAUUUUUUGUACUUUUUGAUUGCCUGUUGAUUGCAUUGCACUGACACUGACAUGACGAACAAAGUAGCUCAGGGGCGGAAGCCGUAAACAGCAUGUUGGGCAUGGAUUGUCUUCUGCCGUUUCCCCACAUCCUCAUCUCAGUUAGCUGAUGUUAGCCGCAGUAUCAUCCUGCGUCGCACUAACCAGCAGUGUCUUAACUAAAUGUGAUCCAUGCAUGAUCUGAGAGAUGAGCCCAUUCAAACCCGUAGGUUCUCUUUACCUUUCCAGUUUGGGUCCAGAAUUGUCCCGGUUCUGAGGGAACAAGGACCUCCUGAUCGAUCCCUGGAGGUCUACCUCCGACCCACCUUCAUUGACGACCGAUCUGCGCCCAUCUUCUACUAGAGAUCUGCUGCCUGUGUUUUGCCCGAUUAGGGGCUCGUGAAAACAUAGCUGCAGUGCCAGUGGCACGUUUGAGUGGCGUGAUGUAUUUGCUAGGGGGCCCAGAGGCGCAACUGGGACGAAGAGACUCGCAGAAGGGAUGUUAGACUGCUACAAUAGAUAUUUAGUUUCUUUGCUGUGGAAAUUCACUGGGUUUCCAGUUUAACUUCAGAUUUAUUGCAGACACAACAAAAAACAGCAAAUGUCUCGUCUUGAAUAUUCAGGCACUGACGUUCGAGUGCGACAGUAGAUUUAUUUAGUCAUUUAGAGCUCACCUGGUUUUGAAUAAGGUACAGAAUAACCUAUAGGAUUGCGUUAUUUACCUACACUUCUACUAUGGGAUUUCUCUUCAGCACUGUACAUUUGAUUUGAGGAUAAUUUGCCACAACACGCUCUGCAUUGCUGGUUUAAAGUGGCGCUUGAAGGCCAGUGUGUCACCAUAAUACACCUUUAAGACGAGGUGCAGGCUGGACACGGCUGCAGUGACUGGAGGUGGAACGGGAUGGUUAGAGAGAAGCCUGUAAUUCUGCUGUUAAGUGAUUUAUAGUACUAUGUGUUUGAUAGUUGUGAUACAGUGCGCUCAGGUUUUCAAUCUGGGAACUGUGCCUUCUACUCUUUUGUUUGGUUAAAUAUAGGCUUUCUUGCAAUCAUUCUGUAAACUGGUUUGGCAAUUUAAGCAUCACAGAUCUGCGUGUAUGAUUUUUUUUGAUUUUUUUUUUUUUGUAUUCCUUAAAAUAUUGGUGGUAUUAUGUUCUCCUUUUGCUUAGCGAGCUCCAGUACACUGCAUUUGCAAUUCCCACCAAACUAAUACGAGGAUACUUAGACUUGCUGCAGGGAGAUGAAGUACAGCAUCUAGCAAUGGGUCUUUUCUUUGGGGGGUAGUGGCUUAUCAGAUAAGGUGCAGUAUUAACAUAGCUUUCGAUCAUUUCUUCUCAGUAUUACAGUCAUCUGGGGACAGAGCUCAUGAUUGGUCAUUGUUGUGAAAGUAUAGACGACAAAGCAAACAAAUAAAAAUCUAUGGGCGUCUGAGUGAGCCUACAAACAUUUUCCUUUACACUGAGUAACAUGAUCACACUCUUCACUGCUCUUUGGGCACUGUCUUUUUUUUCUACUUUUUAUAGCUUUUAUUUGUCCAUUUCUCACAUUUGUCCUUGUUUGUAUUAUAUCUGUAUUGCACAGAAAGUACAUAUAAAUUAUCUUGUCUAAAAUAAAUCUAAAUGGGUACAAAUGUCAUGAUUUUA